rnacentral:lncRNA from 1 species
GGCUGCCUGCGCCGGACUGGAGAGCGCGGAGGGCCGACCUGACCCGCCGAAAGGGCCUGAGGCGAGGGGAGCCCGGGUCCCGGGGCCUUGGGGAAGGACCCGCAGCCGCACGCCGGCCCCAAGUGCAAAGCAUUGACACGACCCCGAGCGGAGAGGGGGCGCCCUCCUUCUCCCGCGCCCAGAGGCCCGGCCGCUCUGGCCCGAGCCCCAGCCUGGCCUCCGACCCAGCUCCGGGUCGUGGCGCCGCCUGGGGGUCCCUGCGCCCCGGAAAGAGACAGCAGGCACUGGAAAGCGAGGCCGGUGGGCGGGCGAGUCGGGAGGCUCGGGCGGCCGAGGUCCGGGAGCGGAUCCCAGGUGGCGGGAGCUGGUGAGUGGAGCCAUGGCCGAGCCCUGCUGGGGCCGGCGCGGGCGGGAGCGGGACGCGGCCUUGCGCUGGGGAAACGCGGGGACCCCCUACCCGCGCCCGCCUUCACCGGAAGACUCGGAAGGAACCUGGAGUUCUCCGCAGGCCCGGGCCCCGCCCUGAGCUUUCCAGCGGCCGGGAGGAGCGGAUCCUCGGGGCCAGGAAGGUGAGCGCACCUUUCGCUGAGCACAGGGCGGCACCGCGCGGGCGGACCCCGGAUUCUCCACCCGCGACCCAACGAAUUUUCGCCCUAUCCGGUACCGGAGACGAAAGUCUCCUUCUUCCGAAAUACCGGCUUCCUCUCUUCGCCCUGCCAACCACUUUUUUAGUUUCUUCUCAUCUCUCGGAAGCGCACGUCUCCUAAGUUAAGGAGUGCUGAGUAACGCGUGAGGGAGUUGGGGUGUCUGCGAGCACCUGUGAUUGAAGCCCCCUCUUCUGUGAUCAGUCUUCGUUUUCUGUCUUCCGGCAGCCUCAGUUUCCCCCCCAUGAAGUGAUGGUGUGUGUGUGUGUGUGUGUGUGUGUGUGUGUGUGUGUGUGUGUGUCGGGCCCCGUGUGGUGCCCUCUGUGCGCAGCGAGAGCUAUAACUCAAGGUGUGCACGGGGAGAGUGAAGCGACCACGCACCUGCUUCCAAUCGGGCUCGGGCGCGAACACUCAGGCUGAUUCCUGAAGGUCGUUUUCUGAAGGAAAAGACAGAGCAUGCACUAGCCACGGGUGACAUUCCCACCCGUACAACCGCGUGGUGGGCGCGUACAUCCAACAUUGACCCAUGCAGGCGCCCGCCCACUGCGCACACCGGUCGCAGGGCACUUCGUUGUUGAACGUUGGGAGCAGCGUUUGAAGGCCGGAUCUCUCCUGGCAGUGCGGAUUCGGGACCGGCGGAAGCAGUAUGGCCUCUGCGACCGUUAUCCCUACUUUUCGGGGCCGACCCCAGGGCCCUCACAACUCCUCAUCACCGCAUAUGUGCCCUGGCAGGAGGGACUGGCUUAUGCCACCCUGUGCAGGAUCGUCUUCUCAGCUUACAGAGCCUAGUGUGAUUCAACAACCCUCCAUCUCUGCCCCCAACAUGCCCAACUGAUCUGGUGGAGGGAACUGAAGAUGAAGGCCUCUCAGGCACCAUGGAUGGGAUGGGUGUGUGUGAAGGGGGCAGGGUCCCCAGGAGCUGCCCCAGGUCUGGCUGGACAGUUGCACGGGAAGUCCUGUUUGUGAACUCAACGUUUCCACGGCUUUUCCAUUAAACUUUACCCCAAAUCA